GCAGUUGUCAAUCAAUUUUGUUUGAGUGUGAGAGGCUGCUGCAUUUUUUGUUUUAAAAUAAUAAUUAACUCUUUGUACUACUAAAAGUACUUAAAAAUUACCACAUCUGCAUCUAUUGUGUACUACUCGUUUCAAUAAUUGUUCCUGUGUUAUUCUGACCUGAUCGACAUUCAGAUUUAAUUCCACGGGAGUCCCAACAAAUAAUUCAAAAUGUCUAGCGACACGGCUAAUAAUAAAAAUUUCUCAAACCUGGAGACUCCAGGCUAUGUCGGCUUCGCCAACUUGCCAAACCAGGUGCACCGCAAGUCGGUGAAGAAGGGCUUCGAGUUCACCCUGAUGGUGGUCGGGGAGAGCGGGCUUGGCAAGUCCACACUUGUCAACUCUCUGUUCCUCACUGACUUGUAUCCAGAGAGGGUUAUCCCUGACGCCAUUGAGAAGACGAACCAGACGGUGAAGCUGGACGCGUCCACGGUGGAGAUCGAGGAGCGCGGGGUGAAGCUGCGGCUCACCGUCGUGGACACGCCCGGCUACGGGGACGCCAUUGACAACACUGACUGCUUUAAGUCAAUAAUCCAGUACAUCGACGAGCAGUUCGAGCGGUUCCUGCGCGACGAGAGCGGGCUCAACCGGCGCAACAUCGUCGACAACCGCAUCCACUGCUGCUUCUACUUCAUAUCGCCUUUUGGACAUGGUCUGAAGCCGCUAGACAUCGAGUUCAUGAAGCAGCUGCACAACAAGGUGAACAUCGUGCCCGUCAUCGCCAAGGCCGACUGCCUCACCAAGAAGGAGGUGCAGCGGCUCAAGUCCAGAGUGAUGGAGGAGAUCGGGCGCGAGGGCAUCAAGAUCUACCCGCUGCCGGACUGCGACAGCGACGAGGACGAGGACUACAAGGAACAGGUCCGCCAGCUAAAAGCAGCGGUCCCAUUCGCGGUGUGCGGCGCGGGUCAACAGCUGGAGGUGCGCGGGCGCAAGGUGCGCGGCCGCCUGUACCCGUGGGGCGUGGUGGAGGCCGAGAACCCCGACCACUGCGACUUCAUCAAGCUCAGGACCAUGCUCAUCACGCACAUGCAAGACCUGCAGGAAGUGACUCAGGAGGUGCACUACGAGAACUACCGCUCCGAGCGGCUCGCGCGCAACGGGCAGGUGCCCAAGAGACACAUGUCAACAGAGAGCGGCAUAAGCGAGGCGGACUCCAACGGGCUCUCCAACGGCUCUAGCGAGGACCCGACGGAGCGCGAGAAGGCUCUCCGGGAGAAGGAGGCGGAGCUGCGCCGCAUGCAGGAGAUGCUCGAGCAGAUGCAGCGCCAGAUGAACCUGCAGGCCGCUAAUAGCACCGCGUAGUGCGAGCGGGACAGCGUGGAAGUGAAGGGUAUCCAAUCGCCAGGUGCAUGCGACGUUGUCAAUUCCAUACUACACAUCAUCCCGUACUGUAUUACUUCAAUUUAGAGUUAACUUAAAAGCCGCCAUAUUGGAUUAAUCAUGAUAUUUUUUUGUUUCUUGAUUUAUAGAAAGAGUUAAUCUCAAAUAAUAAUGUAAAUUUAUUACUCUUCAUGAGACUUAUGCCAGAUCUAUUACCUAUGUAUUAACGAAUCCAACAUGGCAGACGAAAGCCAAUUUACCUUAUCGUAGAUGGCGCCACAAAUUGAUAUGACAAAAAUUACUUUAUAAAUUGAUUGUGAGCGUUGCAUUGAUAACUUUAUUUUAUACAAGAAAUGUCGCGCUUCUAUGACUCUCUAAUCCAGAUCUGCUGUACACUGGUUAAUGUUGGGUUUCUUCAUGAUAAGAGUAAGCUUGGAAGACAGGCCCAAGCCCCUACAAUUGGCUUUGAAAGUCCGAGCGCACUCGGAUCUCGUGCUAUAACUACCCAGCAUCGGUCCUAGCGUACACUUAUCGUGAAAACCCCGCCAAAUACGAAAUACAAUAGCACUCGAAUGAUUUAAUUCGCACGCACAACAUAUAAUUUCGUCGUAAGUUUUUUUUAUUUAUCUCGUAUCUUAAUAUUUUAAACGAGACAUCUGCAUUUAUUUUAGUAAUUAUUAAAUUGUAAUUAUAAGAAAUUAUCCAAGUAUUAUUUUUAUACUGCGUUUUGUGCAUUAUCAAUGUUAGUAUUCCAUAACUUGCGGUUGACGAAAAAUAUUGAAUCUAUUAGUAAGUAUUACAGAUUUAUUAGAUAGUAGAUGUUACAUUUUCGGGAUUGUUGUCGAGGGAAAUUAUCAUUUGAUUAAAUCCAGACGUAAAACACAACUUGCUAUUAUCUUCAACUCUUGUUCAUAGACUAGAGACAUUCGCGAAAUAACAAGAGUUGUAUUUAUUUUGUAUAUCAAAUAUUUUAUAGAUCGAAAGCGAUCCCGGAACUAUGUAUAGAUUAUAUAAAUAUCUGUAGAUAGUAUACUGAAUCAUAUAAACCUAUUUUAGAUUAUAAGAGGACAGUAUAAUUAUGAAAUUCGUAUGAAUCUAGGUCAAAUGACCAAGGACAUGUUAUUGAAUCGAAAAAAUGUAUGCAUGACAUUCAUUCAGUUUUUACAUAAACACGUUUUAGUUCACUUAUAGUAAUUUGGUCCUACAUAAUUAUAUUUUUAAUUGCUAUUGUAACUGUCUUGUGCCAUUUAUCUGAUUACUUUAACAUUGUACUCGAAUAUUAUGUUUAAAUAUUGAUAACAUAGUAAUUCUGAAGGCAUAAAUGUUCAAUUUAGCAUUGUCAAAACGUAAAAUUCCUCGAUCAGAAUUCGAAUUUAAGAUAACCCACCUAGAUCUCAUUUUCUAAAUACCAAUUUAAAGUGUUAAUUUGCUAAAAUUGAUAUUUUGCCUUCAGAAUCGGCUAUAAUUAUGGCUCUAUUUUAUAAUUAUUUCAAUUUGUUUUAAUUUUAACGGAUGACUAUAAAUGUAGGAAUGGAAGACUAGAAGGUUGGCAAGACAUAAUAUCUCAAUAGUAUCUCGAUUGCAUUUGUUCUGUUCAUCAAUAAUUUGUUCAGUGCUGCGCUGAUGCAUAUUUUAACUGACAAAUUUAACUAUCAUACCCCACGAAUUAUGGACGGUACUACGAUUUGUACCUACUACGGUAUUAAUUAAGGAAAAUUUCAAGAAUAAAAUAUGUGUACUUAAAUACAUUCUUCUUCGAUAAUUCCAUUUAGAAUAAAUAGCAGACUUUACUAAUGUUUCUGAAAUCUAAUUAUAAUUAUUUUUAUUAUAAGGAAAUCCUCGAAUUGAAACUAGAUCUAUAAAUUGGUGCCAAAGUUAUAAAACUUAGGGUCUGUUGUGACAAAAAAAAACCCUCUUAAAAGGUCCUUUACUAUCUGCUAAAUAACUUUAUUAAACAUUGAUAAGUAAUUCUAGACUUCUUCCAACGAAAUGAUGUUCCAGGCAUGUUUGCAAUGUGUAAUAUGUGCAAGAAACUUCUGUGUAAUCGUAUAUUUUUUAUAUUAAAUGAAUUAUUGAAA